rnacentral:rRNA from 1 species
AAGGCCCUUCGGGGUACUCGAGUGGCGAACGGGUGAGUAACACGUGGGUGAUCUGCCCUGCACUUUGGGAUAAGCCUGGGAAACUGGGUCUAAUACCGAAUACACCCUGCUGGUCGCAUGGCCUGGUGGGGGAAAGCUUUUGCGGUGUGGGAUGGGCCCGCGGCCUAUCAGCUUGUUGGUGAGGUUACGGCUCACCAAGGCGACGACGGGUAGCCGGCCUGAGAGGGUGACCGGCCACACUGGGACUGAGAUACGGCCCAGACUCCUACGGGAGGCAGCAGUGGGGAAUAUUGCACAAUGGGCGCAAGCCUGAUGCAGCGACGCCGCGUGGGGGAUGACGGCCUUCGGGUUGUAAACCUCUUUCAGUAGGGACGAAGCGCAAGUGACGGUACCUACAGAAGAAGGACCGGCCAACUACGUGCCAGCAGCCGCGGUAAUACGUAGGGUCCGAGCGUUGUCCGGAAUUACUGGGCGUAAAGAGCUCGUAGGUGGUUUGUCGCGUUGUUCGUGAAAACCGGGGGCUUAACCCUCGGCGUGCGGGCGAUACGGGCAGACUUGAGUACUGCAGGGGAGACUGGAAUUCCUGGUGUAGCGGUGGAAUGCGCAGAUAUCAGGAGGAACACCGGUGGCGAAGGCGGGUCUCUGGGCAGUAACUGACGCUGAGGAGCGAAAGCGUGGGGAGCGAACAGGAUUAGAUACCCUGGUAGUCCACGCCGUAAACGGUGGGUACUAGGUGUGGGUUUCCUUCCUUGGGAUCCGUGCCGUAGCUA